GACGUAGGGCGCGAGCGUUGUCCGGAUUUAUUGGGCGUAAAGAGCUCGUAGGCGGUUCGGUAAGUCGGGUGUGAAACCUCCAGGCUCAACCUGGAGACGCCACCCGAUACUGCUGUGACUAGAGUCCGGUAGGGGAGCGUGGAAUUCCUGGUGUAGCGGUGAAAUGCGUAGAUAUCUGGAGGAACACCGGUGGCGAAGGCGGCAUCCUGGACCAAUAUUGACGCUGAGGAGCGAAAGCCAGGGGAGCAAACGGG
rnacentral:rRNA from 1 species